rnacentral:rRNA from 1 species
UACGAAGGGGGCUAGCGUUGCUCGGAAUCACUGGGCGUCAAGGGUGCGUAGGCGGGUCUUUAAGUCAGGGGUGAAAUCCUGGAGCUCAACUCCAGAACUGCCUUUGAUACUGAGGAUCUUGAGUUCGGGAGAGGUGAGUGGAACUGCGAGUGUAGAGGUGAAAUUCGUAGAUAUUCGCAAGAACACCAGUGGCGAAGGCGGCUCACUGGCCCGAUACUGACGCUGAGGCACGAAAGCGUGGGGAGCAAACGGG